rnacentral:lncRNA from 1 species
ACAUUAUUAUAUUAAACCAAACAAACUAAUGCAGUUGUAACAUACCAGAUUUUGGUAUAAAAAUAAAAAUAAAUAAAAAUAGUGUGAGAAACUAUUUUUAUUGAAUUUGUGGAAGUAAAACAUAAGUCAGAAGUGACUUGUGCCGAAAUCGGAAUGAAAACAGAAAAUCUAGAAUUAUCUGUUGGAAACGGGACAGAUAAAUUAGCAGAAAAUGCACAGUCUCAGAAAAUUAUGAAAAUUGGAGGAUUAGUCAGAAAUAUUUUUAUGAGGCUAGUUUUAAAGUUUCAUAUUUUUCUGACACCCGUAGAGUGAGAAAUAAAAUCCGAAAGCUAUCUGAUAAAGAUUGCAGUUCGGUACAGUUUUCAGUGACCAAACGGAGUCGAAAUUGAACCAGUGAUCGUCAGCUUGUUAAGUUAAGUAAAACCGAACAUGACUGUCAAGUUUGAGCUCAAACGGACAUUCAGGGAGCUCCGCCGCGAAAGUUAUCAAAUUUUAAG